rnacentral:rRNA from 1 species
GACGUAGGGCGCGAGCGUUUGUCCGGAUUUAUUGGGCGUAAAGAGCUCGUAGGCGGCUUGUCGCGUCGAAUGUGAAAUCUCAGGGCUCAACUCUGACAUUGCAUUCGAUACGGGCAGGCUAGAGUUCGGUAGGGGAGACUGGAAUCCUGGUGUAGCGGUGGAAUGCGCAGAUAUCAGGAGGAACACCGAUGGCGAAGGCAGAUCUCUGGGCCGUAACUGACGCUGAGGAGCGAAAGCGUGGGGAGCGAACAGG